CGGGGUGAGUAAUGUCUGGGAAACUGCCUGAUGGAGGGGGAUAACUACUGGAAACGGUAGCUAAUACCGCAUAAUGUCGCAAGACCAAAGAGGGGGACCUUCGGGCCUCUUGCCAUCGGAUGUGCCCAGAUGGGAUUAGCUAGUAGGUGGGUAACGGCGCACCUAGGCGACGAUCCCUAGCUGGUCUGAGAGGAUGACCAGCCACACUGGAACUGAGACACGGUCCAG
rnacentral:rRNA from 1 species